AAGAUGGAGUAAAUCUUUUUUCUCCGCUGCUAUUUUUCAAUUUGCUGCCUCGCUGCUCUCUCACGCGGCGCUCAAAUGUACGGACAGAACGCGAACGCAGCACUGACGACUGACGGAGGACAGGAAAAACCUCCCCGGUCGGACGGAGGGCGGCUCGGGGCCGUUUUGCAUCGGCGCCGCACUUUUGACUGAAUAUGCAUUCAGGAGCUGCUGACGCCUCCCAGCUGUCACUCACACUUCACAAGCUCGGUGCCGUCUUUUGUGCGUCUCUCUCACACACACACGCACACACACACGCGCACACACACACACACACACACACACACAAGCUGCUUUGUGUCUUUAAGCUUGACGAAAGGACGCUGACGAGAACGCUAUCGGUGCGUUUCAGCAGCAGACUGCAGAGUGAGAGAGAGAGAGCAAGCGAGCGAGCGUGUUCGGAGGAUUAGCCAGGCAGGAAGAGCCGCAACACGCACGCCAAAACGAGAGACGAACGGCCGUCACGAGGAGAAGGCGUUUACGGAGGUGGCGUACGACCUACACACAGGAAGUGAUGCUCCACAAGCCGACCAACCUUAGAUGUGACAAGACUUCCCACACCCGAGAUGUACACAACAAGGUACACACGGUACUUUGUUUUGCGCUGUAGCGACGCUACGCUUCGUCGCACUUUGCUGUGUUGGUUUGAAGGUCGAAAAGCUGGAAGGAUUUCCACAUCUUCUUCUUCUAAUGUUACAAUUUUCACUUUUUCUCGUAAAGUUCAGACUUUAUUCAUUCAGACUUUAUUCUUGCAAAUUUGCAGUAUUUUCUCAUCAAAUUAGGACUUUUUCUCAUAGAAGUACAACUUCUUUGUCUGUAAACAUUAGAACUUUUCUCAUAUUCUGGCUUUGUUCUUGUAACAAUGCAAUAUUUUCUCAGAGUAUUAUGACGUUUUCUCAUCGAAGUACUUCUUUUUCUUUUAUCAUGUAAAACUGCAAUUUCUUUCUCAGAAAUUGUCCAUUUUUGCUCAUCUGAAGGCUUUUCUACGAUUUUUUUUCUUGAAAAUGUGUAACGAUUUCCUUGUAUUCUGGCAACGUUGGGCUAUUUUCUCACCAAAUUAGGACUUUUUCCUCAUCGAAGUACAACUUCUUUGCCUUUUGUCAUGUAAAACUGCAAUUCAUUUCUUGGAAAUUGACCUUUUUUCACAUCUGGAGGCUUUUCUAUCAUUUUAUUUGUUUCUCCUAUUCUCACUUUGUUCUUGUAAAGUUUAUUUGCAUAAAAAGAUGAAUUUCUUUUUGUAUGUUCUCACAAUAUUGCAACUCUAAUCUUUUAAAAUUCAACAACUAAAUACAGAACACUGUCCGUACCCGCAUGUUGUACUCAAAGCACUCAAGUGUUGAGUGCGCAAUGAUGGACACUUCCCAUCCUCACCUUGGUUACGUAGCAGAAGGGGAGGGACUACCAUCAAAAGCGAGUGCGUGAUCUCUGCCUCAUUUCAAGCAGGGGGUGCAUGCAAACCACAACAAGGAAAAGAAGUAGUAGUAAGUGUGCAGCGACAAUGAUGGGUUUGUCAAAGUAUGCACACUCAGGAAGUGAGUACACAGUGUACACAGUAUGCGUACUGAAGUGUACUGACAGGUCAGACUAUGUUUAUUGAGAUGAAUAACGUCAUGUUUGUGAAAGCGCUAAUAAAUAAACUGUGAAUAAACAUGCAUAUGUGCCCCCCCAUGGGCUAUGCUUCUCCACGCGUGUGCAGGCGUGCGUGAACACGCUUCUGGAUGUGAGGAUCAUAACAGCGGUGAGGGUGUGAUGGGGUCAGGUGGGAAACGACAGAGGAAGGAAAAGGCUGGGAGACGCACGGUAAAUAAAGACGGGAAACGUCCUGCAAAUGUUUUAGGAAUCAGAUGUGACCCCCAGGACAGUAAACCAUUCAGCACCCAAACGAACAAGCGUGCUAAAGUGCUUUCUGUGAUGGAUGGCCAUGAAUGACGUGAACGCUGCCCAAUGUUCCUGUUAGCUCUCCAAAGACACGCAGCCUGUUUCCCAUAUUCUAAUACCAGCCGCUCAUUAGCAUCUAGCAGCUAGCGGCGCUUUGCUGUCCGUCUGCGCUGGCCUCACGGAGCGCCGACCGCCGCCUGUUAGCCAGUUAGCCGCCGGGCUCCAUAGCGACACGUGCCUCCGCUGGGAUGCGGUGGAUGAGGGCCAGAGUUCAUUAGCAUCCGGUCUGGAUUAGCAGCUAGCCUGCCAAGACUUCCAAUCGCUUAGCCAAAAGAGCCCUGCAGGGAGUGAGCGGACAGGCUAACGCUAAUGCUAAUGUCUAAUCAUCAGCACACAGGAGGAGAAUAUAGACAUAAAUGGUCUAGAUCAGGGGUGUCCAAAGGUUUUCCUGUCAGGGCCACAUAGUGAAAAAUGAAAGGAUGCAACUUGGCCAAGUUCAUAUUUUGUAAAGCAACAUAAGAAGUUAUUUAUAUUUCAAGACAAAACUGCAUCUCAGCUUUGUCAUAUAGGAGGUGAAAAACAUCAUUAAUAUCAACUUCACUCUUUGCUCUUUUUUUACAUUUUUGCUGUUGUUUUUUUAAAUUUCCCAUAUCUUCCUACUUUCUUCUUAACUCAUUUAAUCCUUUUUUCAAAAGACAACCCCUUCAGUGGUGGCCAUUUUACACCAUUUGGACUGAUCAGAAACAACAAGUUUGUUUCUACCUUUUUGCGUUCUUUAGUCAUCAGCAGUAGAACGUAGGUACGUUUCAGGAAAAUAUCAGUUCUCGACUAAAAAAGGAAGAAACCAGCUUUUUGUGAAAAGAUACAUUUCAAGCAUAACUUUCACUUUGACACAUAUUUUUUGCUUUUGUGACAGUUUUCACAUUUGGAACUGAACUAUGUGUGCGCAUGUGCACGCGUGUGCAUGCAUUAAAACUUCCCCGCAAUGCACGCUAUACUCCUCCACGCUCUCCCAUUUCCUCUUCUUGUCAUGUGUGUUUGUGGGGCCUCUCCUGGUACCUAACCCUAAAUUCCUGUCUUAUAUGUCUUAUUUUGUCUUAUUAUGUCUACUGUAUUGGCUAAUAGGAGUUUAAAGGUGACUAUAGGGCGCUUCAUGUCCACAUGUCUCUAAUGAUUAAGUUUUGUAAGUAUUUAGAAGAUGCUAAAGUGAUUUUCUACGCUUUACUGUAGUGUGAUUCCGCAGCCACACGGGGCGCUGCCAUCACGUCAUGAGGACAUUACGCUGUAUGCAUCCUUUACAUCUCAAGCAUUCAUAUCACAUACUUAGAAUGAAUUAACAAAAUUGGGUGAAUGACAAAAGAAAUGGCCUCUUUUCUGAGAAAAAAUAAAAAGAAACCAAAUAAUCUGUGACUUUGUGGGGUUACGAAUGCUGAAUGGCGACUAUGCGGGAUCCAUUGUAAUGUAAAUCUGUGUGUGUGUGUGUGUGUUUCCCUGAAAGCAUGGAUAAAGUGGAUGUACGUACACGAGUCAUGGAGGGGGAGAGAGAGGGAGUUUGUAUUAGCAGUGCUUGUGAUGCUGUCGCUUGUUAACGAGCGCGUGUGAUUACUGCGGGAGUGAAUAAUGGAACACGUCAGCCAGAGUGGACCCGACUCUCCACCACAACACAAAUAAAUGAAAGCAACUGGGAAAGACAGACAGAGGAUAACUUAUUAUUCAAUUACGUACAAGUGUGUGUGUUCCCGGGAGGAAGAUGGAUAUCAGCAUCAUUUAUCCCGGCUUAGCAUAAAGAGUGGACAUUACCUCGAAAGUUGCUGCUGCGAUUCACAAUUCAAACACAUUUGGAUAAAAAAAUGCAUCUCAUGUCAAUGAGAAGAUUAGGGUUAGCCCUGACCCUGACCCUGACCCUGACCCUGACCCUGACCCUGACCCUGACCCUG